GUAUCAUGGCUCAGGAUGAACGCUAGCUACAGGCUUAACACAUGCAAGUCGAGGGGCGAGCGGGGAUUGAAGCUUGCUUCAAUUGCCGGCGACCGGCGCACGGGUGAGUAACGCGUAUCCAACCUUCCGUACACUCAGGGAUAGCCUUUCGAAGAAAGAUUAAUACCUGAUGGUAUGAUGAGAUUGCAUGGUACUCAUCUAUUAAAGUAUUUAGUCGGUGGUACGAGUGGGGAUGUCCG
rnacentral:rRNA from 1 species